UGGAUUCAAGGAACUCUAGUGGAUUCUAAGUUUAUUUUUUUAGAGAUAGACGUGUUCUGUCUCUUAUAAUAUUCCGCAUGUGUCAAUACAUGAAAGCCGAUGCAUAGAUGUCUAGAGGUACAUACAUUAUACGAGUCGUUGACAAUUCAAUUACUCCCGAUGAUCAUCGUCAACGUCCAUAAUAGAAAAUAAAGGUUCGUUCUCUAAAUUUGUCCCAUCGCCACAGUUCACGAACUGGUAGUUAACGAUAAGAUGGCUUCUUGCAUUUCCUUGUCUGUCUGUGUCGAGUCCUUGAAACACACCAGCAUCCAAGUCUAGACCUUCGUUGCUGCAUUGGUCAACAAUUCUAACGGUUGUUUGAGCCCCAGUCCCUGUAUUUGUUACCUGUGCACCAGUCAUAUUCAUAUUACACAUCGUGUGUAUAAUAAUAAUGUUACAAUCGAUUCUGAUGUAUAUUAUGUUCGUUGUGCCGAAUGUUAUGGGGCGAUCAUGUUAAAAAUAAAGGCUCGUUCUCUAAAGUCGUCCUAUCGCCACAGUUCACGAAUUUGUAGCUAACGAUAAGAUGGCCUCUUGCAUUUCCUUGUCUGUCUGUGUCGAGUCCUCGAAACACACCAGCAUCCAAGUCUAGACCUCUAUUGCUGCAUUGGUCAACAAUUCUAAUGGUUGUUUGAGCCCCCAGUCCCUGUAUUCGUUACCUGUGCACCAGUCAUAUCCAUAUUACAUAUCGUGUGUAUAAUAAGAAUGUUACAAUCGAUUCUGAUGUAUAUUAUAUUCGUUGUGUCGAAUGUUAUGGGGUGAGCAUGUUAAAAAUAAAGGCUCGUUCUCUAAAGUCAUCCCAUCGCCACAGUUCACGAACUGAUAGCUAACGAUAAGAUAGCCUCUUGCAUUUCCUUGUCCGUUUGUGUCGAGUCCUUGAAACACACCAGCAUCCAAGUCUAGACCUCCGUUGCUGCAUUGGUCAAUAAUUCUAACGGUUGUUUGAGCCCCAGUCCCUGUAUUUGUUACCUGUGCACCAGUCAUAUCCAUAUUACAUAUCGUGUGUAUAAUAAGAAUGUUACAAUCGAUUCUGAUGUAUAUUAUGUUCAUUGUGCCGAAUGUUAUGGGGUGAUCAUGUUAAAAAUAAAGGCUCGUUCUCUAAAGUCGUCCCAUCGCCACAGUUCACGAAUUGGUAGCUAACGAUAAGAUGGCCUCUUGCAUUUCCUUGCCCGUCUGGGUCGAGUCCUUGAAAUACACCAACAUCCAAGUCUAGACCUCCGUUGCUGCAUUGGUCAAUAAUUCUAACGGUUGUUUGAGCCCCAGUCCCUGUAUUUGUUACCUAUGCACUAGUCAUAUCCAUAUUACACAUCGUGUGUAGAAUAAGAAUGUUACAAUCGAUUCUGAUGUAUAUUAUGUUCGUUGUACCGAAUGUUAUGGGGUGAGCAUGUUAAAAAAAAUAGUAUAUUACACAUUAACGUGAUAAGAGAAAAUAAAGUAAAAUAAAACAUAUAAAUGAUUCAACAAUAGGAUUGUCUAACUUUUCAAUUUUUAUUUUUUUUUACCUCACUAGACCUUUAAUUAAAAUACAAUCUAACACAAUUUACGUAGCAGAAACGAAAGCAAAACAAAAAAGAAAAUAAUAUUGGCACUCUAAUUUUAGCAAUUCAUGCACUUUCUCCUAAUGGCAAAAUUAAAUAAUAAAACGACUGCAGACUAGUAUCCUUUGUAGGGCUGUGCAAAAAUUCGAUCUGCCCGAUCCGAUUUUAAGGCCGACGAACAAUUUCGAGCUUUAAAACGGUCGAACUGGUUUGGAUUCAAGGAAUCUGAACUUAUUCGGACGGGUGACGAGUUUUGGCCAAAUCCGACCGUCUAACCCGCGAGUCCGAUACAUGGGAUUGUUUAGGAUGCAUAGGGUAAGGUAGGGAAGAGGAGAGAGAGACAAACGAAUCCAUAUGAUAGACAAACACACAUAUGGAGAGAGAGAGGGAGAGAUUUCAUAACCUUUUCUGAUGGACACAUGGAUGGGCGUUUUUAUCAAUGCGAGGCUAAGUCUCUACCUAUUCUUACUCAAUCAGUCAGUGAACAACCUUAUCACAGAAGAGAAGACAACCCUAGUCUUCAUCCCGCGACGCCCCCGUUUCUCCCUCUCUUUCUCCCUCUCUCUCUUGCAACUUGCAUAUCUGCUCUAGUCGACAUACGAAACUCCAAACAGUGUCGCUGUCGUUUACGACGUCUAGGCCGCUGCUGGAGGGUCUCAGUCCAUUGAGCGAGACAGAGAGAGACAGAGAGCUGGGUUUGACUCACACCCUCCGCCGCUGGAAUCACGUCGUUGUUGCCGGACCGUGUCUCAUGACACCAGCGCCGCCUCGCACAACUAUGGCUUCGAUUCUCUCUUCCUCCCCCCCUCUCUCUGUGAGUGACAUAGAGUUGGGUUGUCUUUUGGCCCAAAUCAAAAGUUUUGUGUUUUGAUUUUUGGGUUGUCUAGAGAGAGAUUUGUC
rnacentral:lncRNA from 1 species